GGUCACCCAUCCAAAUACUACUCCAAGUCAAGCACACUUAACUAUGAAUUUCUUAUUUGUUAGGCUACAAAAAAGAAGAUGCAUCUUAUUGGUAUAUGUAGUACCAAUAAAUCAUUAUAAGUCUUUCUUCAACCAUGCAGUUUCAUACCUGUACAACCUCUAGAUCCUCUCAUUAUGAUGUGAAUUAGGGUGACCACUAUCCUCCCUCUUCGACCUCGGGUGUUAC
rnacentral:lncRNA from 1 species